UUGACAGAACUCUUCGGAGGGAAGAUGAUAAGUCUUAGUGGCGGACGGGUGAGUAAUGCAUGAGCAACUUGCCUUUCAGAGGGGGAUAACACAUCGAAAGGUGUGCUAAUACCGCAUGAAAUGACGGGAUCGCAUGAUCCUGUUAUCAAAGGAGCAAUCCGCUGAAAGAUGGGCUCAUGUCUGAUUAGAUAGUUGGUGAGGUAACGGCUCACCAAGUCGACGAUCAGUAGCCGGACUGAGAGGUUGAACGGCCACAUUGGAACUGAGAGACGGUCCAGACUCCUACGGGAGGCAGCAGUGGGGAAUAUUGGGCAAUGGGCGCAAGCCUGACCCAGCAACGCCGCGUGAAGGAAGAAGGUCUUCGGAUUGUAAACUUUUGUCUUAUGGGACGAUAAUGACGGUACCAUAGGAGGAAGUCACGACUAACUACGUGCCAGCAGUCGCGGUAAUACGUAGGUGGCAAGCGUUAUCCGGAAUUAUUGGGUGUAAAGGGUGCGUAGGCGGGAUGUAAAGUCAGAUGUGAAAUGCCGCAGCUUAACUGCGGAGCUGCAUUUGAAACUUAUGUUCUUGAGUGAAGUAGAGGCAAGCGGAAUUCCUAGUGUAGCGGUGGAAUGCGUAGAUAUCAGGAGGAACACCGGUGGCGAAGGCGGCUUGCUGGGCUUUUACUGACGCUGAGGCACGAAAGUGUGGGGAGCAAACAGGAUUAGAUACCCUGGUAGUCCACACCGUAAACGAUG
rnacentral:rRNA from 1 species